ACACGUACAUUAAACUCAACCUUUAAGUUGUUUAAUGAGAACCCAAAUUUGAGUAAAAAAAAAUUAAGCAAUUUAUUGAGUUUCCUAAUCAUAAAAUUUAAUUAUAAGAGUUUGAGUUGAUAAAAAUAAUCAAAAACUUAGAUCAUUUUGUUUAUACAUAUUACUGCAGGUAUUUAACGUAUUUAAAACUGUCCCAACAUUUCAUUCUAACCGAUGAAUCACACAAGUGUAUUUAAAUUGAUCAUUUAUUUUCAAACACUUUAAAAACAGUAAGUUGCGUAAAAAUAGCUCAACGUGUGGCAUUUAGACUGCGUUCUAGCCGUUGAGUAGUUUAAACUCAAAUUUGGUUGAAAAAAUGAGCCAGCCAUUUUGAAAUGUCAACGCUGUGAUCAUUCUGAAACCGUCAUCGUCUGCAUACGGCAUAACACUUAACAGUAGAAAAAUAGUGAGUUUCUUUAAAAAAAAAUCCCAAGGAUGGUGAAAUAAUUGUUUCUGAUGUCGUUUUAUACUGAAUUCCGGAAGCUGGCCAGAAAAUGUAACGAAUUAAUUGAAGGAGUUCAAUUUUCCUGGGUCCACGAUCUUUGCGCAAGAUAGCUGAAAUUUAUAAAAAGUGCCAGUUCCCGACUAAAAAACUACUGCGCUGUUCUCGAUAGCUGCCACAUGUUCAAAUUAUUGUUUGCCGUUCCUGCCAUCCGCCAUGAACGAUGGAAAAACGAGAAGGCCGUUCCGACUGUUGUUGCUGCGUUCUAGCAACCCAUCCACCAUCAUCAAAUGUUUCCGGAUAAAGAUACUCAAACUGAACGAAUAUGUUAUACAAAGCUUUCUCGAGCCCACGGCAAUCCGGUUAUGGAUCAUUGGAGCGAAUAGCGUUCGAUCAUUAACAAUUUUUGUUAGUACACAGUGCACUUCAUGAGUUAGAGGAUGAUAGCUUGAAAACAAAUCAUCGGAACCACCUUCCUGAGAAACCCACAUACUGUGCCUUAACUGCUGGAACGACCAAGAAAAGCCUUGAAAAUUAUUUGUCUAAAUAGAUUGUUUUAUUACUUUCAACAAUAAACUCUAGACUAGAUGUGUUAAAGCCUUA